UACGGAGGGUGCGAGCGUUGUCCGGAAUCAUUGGGCGUAAAGGGCGCGUAGGUGGCCCGGUGAGUCUUUGGUGAAAGCGCGGGGCUCAACCCUGCGUCGGCCAGGGAUACUGCCGCGGCUCGAGCACUGUAGAGGCAGGCGGAAUUCCGGGUGUAGCGGUGGAAUGCGUAGAGAUCCGGAAGAACACCGGUGGCGAAGGCGGCCUGCUGGGCAGUGGCU
rnacentral:rRNA from 1 species